CAGAGGGUGCAAGCGUUGUUCGGAAUUACUGGGCGUAAAGCGUGCGCAGGCGGUGAGCUGUGUCCGAUGUGAAAGCCCCGGGCUUAACCUGGGAAUGGCAUUGGAAACUGGCUCGCUGGAGUGUGGCAGAGGGGGGUGGAAUUCCGCGUGUAGCAGUGAAAUGCGUAGAGAUGCGGAGGAACACCGAUGGCGAAGGCAGCCCCCUGGGCUAACACUGACGCUCAGGCACGAAAGCGUGGGGAGCAAACAGG
rnacentral:rRNA from 1 species